rnacentral:misc_RNA from 1 species
GAAAUGCGAUAAGUAGUGUGAAUUGCAGAAUUCAGUGAAUCAUCGAAUCUUUGAACGCACAUUGCGCCCUAUGGUAUUCCGUAGGGCAUGCCUGUUCGAGCGUCAUUUACACCUUCAAGCCUUGCUUGGUGUUGGGUGACUGUGGCCCCUUUGGGGCCACUCGCCUUAAAGUCAUUGGCGGCCGGUUCGUUGGCUUUGUAGCGCAGCACAAUUGCGUCCUCGAAGCCGCUGGACCAGCUCCCAGAAGCUAAUUUUAAAUGUUUGACCUCGGAUCAGGUAGGGAUACCCGCUGAACUUAAGC